CAUCGUGAGGUGGAAUCUGAAGAAAGCCGGAAUUUGGGAGUUGAAAGGUCUCCCAAUGGGCAAAGCUCUGGCCUGACGAACAGAAAUCGCAUAUAAGGCCGCAGAGCAAGGGUAAGACUGCAAAUCAAGUUAAAGCCCAAUCACUGCACGGAUUGCUUGGGGAAAUGCGGCGGGUAAAGAGGGAAAGAACG
rnacentral:ncRNA from 1 species